GAUGAAGAACGUAGCGAAAUGCGAUAAGUAAUGUGAAUUGCAGAAUUCAGUGAAUCAUCGAAUCUUUGAACGCACAUUGCGCCCGCCAGUAUUCUGGCGGGCAUGCCUGUUCGAGCGUCAUUUCAACCAUCAAGCCCCCGGCUUGUGUUGGGGACCUGCGGCUGCCGCAGGCCCUGAAAACCAGUGGCGGGCUCGCUAGUCACUCCGAGCGUAGUAAUACAUCUCGCUCAGGGCGUGCUGCGGGUUCCGGCCGUUAAAAAGCCUUAUUUACCCAAGGUUGACCUCGGAUCAGGUAGGAAGACCCGCUGAACUUAAGCAUAUCAAUAGCGGAGGA
rnacentral:misc_RNA from 1 species